rnacentral:rRNA from 1 species
UACGAAGGACCCGAGCGUUAUCCGGAUUCAUUGGGUUUAAAGGGUGCGUAGGCGGAUUGAUAAGUCAGUGGUGAAAGCCCAUCGCUUAACGAUGGAACUGCCAUUGAUACUGUCGAUCUUGAGUACAUUUGAAGUGGGCGGAAUGUGUCAUGUAGCGGUGAAGUGCUUAGAUAUGACACAGAACACCGAUUGCGAAGGCAGCUCACUAAACUGUAACUGACGCUGAGGCACGAAAGCGUGGGGAUCAAACAGG